rnacentral:rRNA from 1 species
AUUCCAGCUCCAAUAGCGUAUAUUAAAGUUGUUGCGGUUAAAAAGCUCGUAGUUGGAUUUCUGUCGAUGACUGGUGGUCCUCUCUAUGAGAGUGUAUCUACUUAGGCGUUGGCAUCCUCAUGGGAGACGUUUCUGUGCUUGAUUGCAUGGUGCGGAUUUCAUGACUUUUACUUUGAGGAAAUUAGAGUGCUCACGGCAGGCACGCGCCUUGAAUACAUUAGCAUGGAAUAAUAAUAUAGGAUCGAGAUUCUAUUUUGUUGGUUUCUAGAAUCACGAUAAUGAUUAAUAGGGAUAAUUGGGGGCAUUUGUAUUAACGCGUCAGAGGUGGAAUUCUUGGAUUGCGUUACGACAAACUACUGCGAAAGCAUUUGCCAAGGAUGUUUUCAUUA